GCCCGAGUGCCGCCGCCACUACCAGCGCCCGACCCCGAGCUCCUUCUCCCGUGCGCCUCCUCCCUGGCCUCCCUCGCGCGUCGUCCGGCGACCGGCGCUGCCGCCGCCGCCGACCACCCAGGUCACGCCGCCGCUCCCAUGCCUUCUCUCUCUCUAAUCUCCUUGUCUCUCCUCUCCAGGAGCUCAGCGCCAGCGCUAGCGCCAUGGAUGUCCCGUCCUCGAGCUCUCCUCGGAGGUUCGAACGCCGCCACGGGACCUCCACCAGCCAGAUCCGACGCCUACCUCCCGGAUCCGCGCUCCCUCCACCUCCUCUACCCGAUCCGGCGCCGCCGAACCCGCCAUGACCUCCACCAUGGAGUUCCUGUAGCUCGUCCCCUGCCUCCUCGUCCUGUGCUCGAGGGAGACGCCCCUCCAGCGCAUCGAGGACAAGGCCCACCACCAGCCGGUCGUCGUUGCACUCGCCGGCGACCUCACCGUCCCCUCUGCACUGCCCUCCACCUCAACUGAUGCUUCUCAUCAACAGGGAUAGAUUUAGCUGGUUAUAGCUUGUGGAUGUUCUCUGUUAUUUUUUGCACACAAGGUGUUUGUGUGCUUGUCCAAGCCAAUGUUCAUGAGCUUUAUCUUUGCUAUAAAUGACAUGGCUGAGAAGGUCCCUUCAAUGAAAGGAGGAGUAUAGUCUUGGCCAUGGCUGGGAAGGAAGGAGAACAUGUAAAUUGAGGAUUUUUCAGAGAGAUUAGGACUGCUUGAUUUAUCAAAGAGAAAACCUUGAUCUGGAGCUUCGUCGAUGCAGGCCUUCAUGCUGGGCCGAGGAGGAGCGCGCCGUCGAGAUCGUUGAUGACAGCGACAUGGGCGAGGCCGGGGAGGAGGUCAUGGUUGAUGCUUUACUGCCUGAACAUGUUGACUGGGAACAAGAGGGUAAGGUGGAUGUGAGGGCGGAGGCGCAUGCCAUGGUGCAGGAUGUUGUGGAAGCCCGAUUAUUUGAGGAAGUGACAGCCACUGGGAGCAUGGAUCGACAGACUAGACAGACCAAGUCCAUCGAUCGGUUGAUUCAACAACGAAGGAAGAGGCAGAAGGUUAUAAAAACAAGCUUGGGGAUUUACUGACCUGAAUCUUAAACAGGGCCGCCCAGCUGAUGGGCUCAAGCUCCAGAAAAAAUCUAGCAAGCAACGACUCGACUGAUGAAAGAGAUGUUGACCAUCUUUGCUGCAGUGAGGUACCUUCUUGAUCAUGUUACUAAUCUGUAUCUACAUUAUUCAGAUGUGAAACUCAUCCUUCUUAAAACAUCUGCAACACAUAUGUGCACUCUGAAAUGUUAAAAUAUUUGCAUUCUAUAGCACUUCAAGUUUGUGUAGCAUCCCCAUAUUUCCCGCGGCCCAGUUCCUUGAACUGGCUAACCCUUAUUGAUGUCAUAUGUCCUGAACUGACUCUCAUGACCAAGUUCCUCAACACGUCUGCCCCUCACAGGCAUGUUGUGCAGUGGCUCAAUUCAUCGCAUUGUGAUUGAACACAUUAGGAUUAGGUGAACACUGAAAACAUCGGUGAGGGUGGUCAUGAAGAAAAGCUAAAACCACCAGACGAAGGGGCGCUGGUCUCUGGUUCUUGGCGAAGGCCACCGCAGCUCAUCUCCAAGACCUCUGAUGUCGUGUGUCCCCCAAGUUAUUCACCAAAUCUCCUCGCCCGCUGGCUGCUGCUCUUCUUCUCCCUCGAACACAUCUCCGCUUCUGAUCCUUUGCUGCCGCCCCUAACCUGCUGCUUCUGCUCUCUGAUGCUGCCCCCUGUACCUCUCCUUCUCCAACGAACUGUUGUUCCUAAUCUUCUCUGAACCCAAACUGUUGCUGCUCCGCUUCAUCUCUGAACCUCAGUCUGCUGCUGCUUCUCUGAUUCAGAGUAAACCAAUAAACAGGAAUUGUAUGGACUUCUAGGUCGUGUUUCCUUUGGUAACAGUUAUUGUUAGUUCUAAACAAUUUUUCAGUGCCACGAUUAGGCUUCCAAGGGUUCAGAGAAUGAUGAAGAAGCCUUUUAUAUCACACACUAUAUAACAUCAUGGAAUCACAACCUUAUAACAAAUAAUUUAAGAGGCUAUGUUCUGGUUUGCUGCAUCUCCACCAGUUUGGGUUGGUCUGAUGGCUAACCUAAACUGAAUAGGGAAUCAGGAGUACUUUAGUUGGUAUUGGAAGUGGUAUGUUUACUUUCAAGCUGAAAAUCUUGCAAGUUUGGUCCUGGGAUAUUUAAUGCUCCCUUUUCUUAUUAUCUUCCAAUCAUACUAUACAUAUUUAGUUUUUUUUACUUUCUCUUGACAAGUGAACUGAAUUAUUCAUGGAGAAUCUGGUUAUGGUAGAUUUUAUUAUGGAGAUUCAUCCGAUGUAAUAGAAUAGCUUUACUUGCUAAAAUCAAUACAUAACUAUAGUGUUGUAUGGUUACAACAUGUAGAGUUUUGCAAGUGAGAGUUACAGGAAGUCACUAUUGCAAGAUGGCAUUCAGUUAACACACGUACAAUCAACUGAUCACCGUAUCUUUUUUCUGCUAAUUUAAUUUGAAAAAGCUAUUGCAAACAAUUUUUUCUUCUGAAAUUAUAUACUCUGUUUAUUUCUAAUGUGAUUUUGUUACUGUUUGUAUGGUAUUUCUCUGUCUAAAUUUUUUGUUACAUAAAUCAAUCUGCAUAUAUGUGUGCAGGCUGUGAAUCGACAAACAGCCCAGAAAAUAUGGCAUGCUACAUAUCCUGUGACAGUACAUUAUCAGAAAUACUUAUAUUUUUAUAAACGCAUCUCUCAUCCAUCAUGACAUAGAUGUCAUGCGUUGCAAGUGUUCUUUUUCGUUGUCUCGCGAUGCAUUGAGUACAUGAUGGAUGAUCGUUCAGUGUGUCAUGUGUACUCAGUCACUUGUGUCAUCUUCAGAUUUUAGAAGUCAAAAUUCUAGCUUUAGCUCUAUAUUUAAGAAUUUUUCUACGGCAAAUGCAAGAAAAAUAAAGUGUCCUUCUGUUCUCAUUCUGAGGAAGUUCUGAAAAAUUGAGGCAUUUGUAUGAAUUUCUAUUCUUCAUUAUAAAUUAUCCUUUUAAGUUUAGAAAAUAAAACAUGAUAUACUCUGUAUGUCUCUGUUCUACACUACCACUACCAUUUUAUUGCUGCAAAACGCCAAUGAAAAAGUCAUUACUAUUUUCCAUGUUUUUAUACAAUCAAGCUGAAAGAGCAAUAAAAUGAUCUGUUUUCACAUCUCCUCAGAUCUUACCGAAAGGCAAUGUGCUUAUAAUGUACAUCUAGAUAACAAUAAUGUGUUUGGGAAUGAUUCAUUUGUCGACGGUCAGCAUGUGGGGUGUGAGGGACGAUACUUAUAUCACUCAGUGGCCAAGGGAAUGACAUCACAAAAGUUUAUCUAACAUCCUAGGAGAAGAUGGAGACAUGUUCCUAUAUUGCUUCUCUACACUUACUUUCACCAUUUGAUCAUCCAUGUAAUUUAUAGCAUCCAUGCAUAGCUUAUCCUUAGGUUGUUUGUAUCCACUUAUUCCUUUUGUUGACAUGGCUAGGAGGCUAAUAUGAAUGUCACAUAGAUUGUAAUUUAACCUCCUUACAAAUAAUUAACGUUCAAACAUUCCAGUGGAGGAAUCUCAAGAGUUAGGAAUGGUACCCCGACAAUUGUGAGCGGCACAAAGGAAGGGUCGCCAUCACCAAGGAAGUACGCUGACAAUUGUGGACUCCAAAGAGGAACAAGCUCUAUAUUUAGUGCAUUGAGUUGCUAUUUUAAAUUCUGAGAGGUGUUGAAUUUCGUCGAUUUCUAAGAUAUUGACUCGGAAGAAUUAUUAUUUUGCUUGAUGUAAACUCAGAUUAAUUUGUCAUGUCAUUUGAACCGAACAACCUUUUUGUGACAUCACUUCAUGAUUUUUGUGGGA